GAAUGUGCGUGAUGGCUGAUAAAUUACAGGGAUGCAGGGAUAUUUUUUCCAUUGUGAGCUAUGAAGUUGAUGUUUGCUGUAAAGGAAGAUCUUUGGAUAGAUCCAAGGAAAUGUAUUUCCCUCCUUACUGGAUUUCAUAACAUCUGAGAAAAACAAGUUCAACAUUCUGGCUUAGAGAAACUUGUAUGAUUUUGGACUUAUUAAUCCUUUUACUAGUCAACUCUUAUGCCUUCCAUUACUGAACCUUUGCCAUGCUAGUAUCUGACUUCUCACCUUUGUUUACCUUAGCAUCAUCAUCUUUAGCAAAAUUGCUCUCAAGAAUCUAUUUUGCACUGGGGCUGUGCAAAGGUUUUUAGCAGAAAAGGACCCAAAUUCAUACAGAAGUGGGCACAUCUCUGCCUACUUAAAAUGAACACAUCACCAUCAAUCAACAGAAAUGUUUUGCCCCUCUAUACAGUAUGUCAACCAUCUAACAUGUAGCCCCAUGAUAAUGUAGAUAUUAACAAUAAAUUAUAUCAAGAGUCUCCUUUUCUAUUAGAAGUUCCCUGAGACAAAAAAAGACAAUAGUGAAGUAUGGAAUUAAGUAAAGCUGUCAUAAAGAACCCCUGUAAAAAGUUUUCAAUUAGAACUGAGAAGGGAAACUGGCCUCCAGAACUAAGGAAGAUAUUCUUGUUGAAACUGAAUUAAAACCUUGAUCUUUCCACAUCAAAUACUUUCUUCUUCUGGAACAGAGUCCAGCUCCUUUCUCAGAAGUGAUUUAAUUUCUUUCUAUUUCUCUUACUUUCCAAAAAGUUUUUUGAAUAAAUUCAAAAAGAAUA